GACGAACGCUGGCGGCGUGCUUAACACAUGCAAGUCGAACGGAAAGGCCCUGCUUUUGUGGGGUGCUCGAGUGGCGAACGGGUGAGUAACACGUGAGUAACCUGCCCUUGACUUUGGGAUAACUUCAGGAAACUGGGGCUAAUACCGGAUAGGAGCUCCUGCUGCAUGGGGGGGGUUGGAAAGUUUCGGCGGUUGGGGAUGGACUCGCGGCUUAUCAGCUUGUUGGUGGGGUAGUGGCUUACCAAGGCUUUGACGGGUAGCCGGCCUGAGAGGGUGACCGGCCACCUUGGGACUGAGAUACGGCCCAGACUCCUACGGGAGGCAGCAGUGGGGAAUAUUGCACAAUGGGCGGAAGCCUGAUGCAGCAACGCCGCGUGCGGGAUGACGGCCUUCGGGUUGUAAACCGCUUUCGCCUGUGACGAAGCGUGAGUGACGGUAAUGGGUAAAGAAGCACCGGCUAACUACGUG
rnacentral:rRNA from 1 species